rnacentral:rRNA from 1 species
AUUGAACGCUGGCGGCAGGCCUAACACAUGCAAGUCGAGCGAGCGGCGGACGGGUGAGUAAUGUAUGGGGAUCUGCCUGAUGGAGGGGGAUAACUACUGGAAACGGUGGCUAAUACCGCAUACCAUCAGAUGAACCCAUAUGGGAUUAGCUAGUAGGUGAGGUAACGGCUCACCUAGGCGACGAUCCCUAGCUGGUCUGAGAGGAUGAUCAGCCACACUGGAAGUGAGACACGGCCAAGACUCCUAAGGGAGGGAGCAGUGGGGAAUAGUGCACAAUGGGCGCAAGCCUGAUGCAGCCAUGCCGAGUGUAUGACGAAGGCCUUCGGGUUGUAAAGUACUUUCAGUCGGGAGGCGUUACCGACAGAAGAAGCACCGGCUAACUCCGUGCCAGCAGCCGCGGUAAUAC